CACAUGACUCUCGUCAACGGAUAUCUCGGCUCUUGCAUCGAUGAAGAACGUAGCGAAAUGCGAUACCUGGUGUGAAUUGCAGAAUCCCAUGAACCAUCGAGUCUUUGAACGCAAGUUGCGCCCGAGGCCACUCGGCCGAGGGCACGGCUGCCUGGGCGUCACAC
rnacentral:rRNA from 1 species